AGCGAACGCUGGCGGCAGGCCUAACACAUGCAAGUCGAGCGCUGUAGCAAUACGGAGCGGCAGACGGGAGAGUAACACGUGGGAACGUACCCUUCAGUACGGAACAACCCAGGGAAACUUGGGCUAAUACCGUAUACGUCCGUAAGGAGAAAGAUUUAUCGCUGAAGGAUCGGCCCGCGUCUGAUUAGCUUGUUGGUGAGGUAACGGCUCACCAAGGCGACGAUCAGUAGCUGGUCUGAGAGGAUGAUCAGCCUCACUGGGACUGAGACACGGCCCAGACUCCUACGGGAGGCAGCAGUGGGGAAUAUUGGACAAUGGGCGCAAGCCUGAUCCAGCCAUGCCGCGUGGGUGAUGAAGGCCCUAGGGUUGUAAAGCCCUUUCGGCGAGGAAGAUAAUGACGGUACCCGCAGAAGAAGCCCCGGCUAACUUCGUGCCAGCCGCCGCGGUAACAC
rnacentral:rRNA from 1 species